rnacentral:rRNA from 1 species
AGAGCGAACGCUGGCGGCAGGCCUAAUACAUGCAAGUCGAGCGCACCUUCGGGUGAGCGGCGGACGGGUGAGUAACGCGUGGGAAUGUGCCCUUUGGUACGGAACAACUGAGGGAAACUUCAGCUAAUACCGUAUGUGCCCUUCGGGGGAAAGAUUUAUUGCCAUUGGAGCAGCCCGCGUUGGAUUAGGUAGUUGGUGGGGUAAAGGCCCACCAAGCCGACGAUCCAUAGCUGGUCUGAGAGGAUGAUCAGCCACACUGGGACUGAGACACGGCCCAGACUCCUACGGGAGGCAGCAGUAGGGAAUCUUGCGCAAUGGGCAAAGCCUGACGCAGCCAUGCCGCGUGAAUGAUGAAGGUCUUAGGAUUGUAAAAUUCUUUCACCGGGGAAGAUAAUGACGGUACCCGGAGAAGAAGCCCGGCUAACUUCGUGCCAGCAGCCGC